rnacentral:rRNA from 1 species
UACGGAGGAUGCAAGCGUUAUCCGGAAUGAUUGGACGUAAAGCGUCCGCAGGUGGCUAUGUAAGUCUGCUGUUAAAGAGUGAGGCUCAACCUCAUAAGAGCAGUGGAAACUACAUGGCUAGAGUGCGUUCGGGGCAGAGGGAAUUCCUGGUGUAGCGGUGAAAUGCGUAGAUAUCAGGAAGAACACCGGUGGCGAAAGCGCUCUGCUAGGCCGCAACUGACACUGAGGGACGAAAGCUAGGGGAGCGAAUGGG